rnacentral:rRNA from 1 species
GAUGAACGCUAGCUACAGGCUUAACACAUGCAAGUCGAGGGGCAGCAUGAACUUAGCUUGCUAAGUUUGAUGGCGACCGGCGCACGGGUGAGUAACACGUAUCCAACCUGCCGAUGACUCGGGGAUAGCCUUUCGAAAGAAAGAUUAAUACCCGAUGGCAUAGUUCUUCCGCAUGGUAGAACUAUUAAAGAAUUUCGGUCAUCGAUGGGGAUGCGUUCCAUUAGGUUGUUGGCGGGGUAACGGCCACCAAGCCUUCGAUGGAUAGGGGUUCUGAGAGGAAGGUCCCCCACAUUGGAACUGAGACACGGUCCAAAACUCCUACGGGAGGCAGCAGUGAGGAAUAUUGGUCAAAUGGACGAGAGUCUGAACCAGCCAAGUAGCGUGAAGGAUGACUGCCCUA